GAUGAACGCUGGCGGCGUGCCUAACACAUGCAAGACGAGCGAACCCUUCGGGGUGAGCGGCGGACGGGUGAGUAACGCGUGGGUAACCUGCCCUGUACACACGGAUAACAUACCGAAAGGUAUGCUAAUACGAGAUAAUAUAUUUUAAUCGCAUGGUUAAGAUAUCAAAGCUCCGGCGGUACAGGAUGGACCCGCGUCUGAUUAGCUAGUUGGUGAGGUAAUGGCUCACCAAGGCGACGAUCAGUAGCCGACCUGAGAGGGUGAUCGGCCACACUGGAACUGAGACACGGUCCAGACUCCUACGGGAGGCAGCAGUGGGAAUAUUGCACAAUGGGCGAAAGCCUGAUGCAGCAACGCCGCGUGAGCGAUGAAGGCCUUCGGGUCGUAAAGCUCUGUCCUCAAGGAAGAUAAUGACGGUACUUGAGGAGGAAGCCCCGGCUAACUACGUGCCAGCCGCCGCUGUAA
rnacentral:rRNA from 1 species